rnacentral:rRNA from 1 species
GACGAACGCUGGCGGCAGGCCUAACACAUGCAAGUCGAGCGAGCGGCGGACGGGUGAGUAAUGUCUGGGAAACUGCCUGAUGGAGGGGGAUAACUACUGGAAACGGUAGCUAAUACCGCAUACCAUCAGAUGUGCCCAGAUGGGAUUAGCUAGUAGGUGGGGUAAUGGCGCACCUAGGCGACGAUCCCUAGCUGGUCUGAGAGGAUGACCAGCCAAGCUGGAACUGAGACACGGUCCAGACUCCUACGGGAGGCAGCAGUGGGGAAUAUUGCACAAUGGGCGCAAGCCUGAUGCAGCCAUGCCGGGUGUGUGAAGAAGGCCUUCGGGUUGUAAAGCACUUUCAGCGGGGAGGCGUUACCCGCAGAAGAAGCACCGGCUAACUCCGUGCCAGCAGCCGCGGUAUAC